GAGGAAAGUCCGGGCUCCUAAGAGCAAGAUGCCAGCUAACAGCUGGGCAGAGUAAUCUGACGGAUAAGUGCCACAGAAAAGAAAACUCGCGCUGUAUACGUGCCACAUUUCGUGACAACAUACAACGCGAAAAGCUGAAACGGUGCGGUAAGAGCGCACCAGUGCAUUGGUAACAAUGUAGCUUGGUAAACCCCAUCUGGAGCAAGCGCAAGUAGGAAUGCGAUACAGGCGCUCUUCUGUGCAUUCGGGUUGCGUGCUUGAAGCAUGUAGUGAUAUAUGCUCUAGAUAAAUGGCCGUUCACGACAGAACCCGGCUUA
rnacentral:RNase_P_RNA from 1 species